ensembl:lncRNA
GGGAGGGGCUAUAAGGGUUCUAUGGGGGCCAUAAGGAUCUAUGGGGGGCUAUAAGGGUCCAUGGAUGGGGCUAUAAGGGUCUAUGGAGGCCAUAACGGUCUAUGGGGGCCAUAAGGGUCUAUGGGGCUAUAAGGGGCUAUAAGGGGCUCUGGGAGGGGGCGCUAUUAGGGUCUAUGGGUCUAUGGGGGGGCUAUUCGGGUCUAUGGGGGCUAUAAGGUUCCAUGGGGGGGGGCUAUAAGGGUCUAUGGGGGCUAUAAGGGUCUAUGGGGUCUAUAACGGUCUAUGGGGGCUAUAAGGGUCUAUGGGGUCUAUAACGGUCUAUGGGGGGGGCUAUAACUGUCUAUGGGGGCUAUAAGGGUCCAUGGGGG